UCUGUGGACUGGACUGGCUUUGUGGACUUGCUCAGAACAUCAUUCGCUUGCAUUCAUUGCUUGCACGAUUUAGUUUUUCUCCCUGCUCAUUGAGUGUUUGAUGGUCUUUUUUUAAUGCAUUCUUUUGGGUUUCUUCGUCUUAUGGCUGACUGUAAGGAGACAAAUCUCAAGCUGCACCCUCUCUAAUAUGCUGGUAGAGAGAGUUUUAUUUGGGUUUUCUUCAGCGCUGGAAAUGGUUACAUCCUGACAAGCGGGACAGAAGCAAGGUCGCAUUGUGUAUUCCACGGAUCAGCAAAUUCCGGCCGGCUUAGCGAACAGAGCGGCAGACACCCCUGCUGAAAUCCCGGAGGAAAACACACAGAGGAUGCAGAGGGGGAUCACAAAGCCGAGAUGCUGCCUGACCUGCUGAGUUCCUUCUCCAUUUUGUGUGCGUUGCUAACCCAUAGAUCUUUGGAAUGUGGGAGGAAGCUGCAGCAUCCUGAAGAAAGGAACAUCUUCAUGAGGAGAAGAUACACACUCCUUACAGACAGAGAACUACAUAAUUUUAAUGUAGGAAAUGGUAUCCUCCAAUUACUGAGCUGAAUGACCAGCAGGCUUGAAGAUGACUAAACUGUUACAUCUGUCGUGAGGGGAUUUAGAUCACCGCAGAAUCUAACUCUGGAAAACCAACACUCUCCUUCAGUAAUUGAUGACAAGACCCCAAGGCAGGCUGCCAAUGAAACUUAAUAUCACAUGGUGGAUGUUGCAGUUUGGCCUGCUACAUCUCGGGUGACAGGAAUACAAGUAGCUGUCUGUGACCUACAGCAACCUGUCCUGUCUCAUGCUGCACCUGUUAAACGGCAGUCCACGAAUCCUCAGGCACGCCAAGCUCUCCCCACUUGGGGUCCGUGCAAUGGAGCGGCUGGUGGGGGAAGUGGGAAUUAAAAAUAGCAGGGGCCCUGUCAGAAAGAGGGAGGUGGUCUGAUUUAUGAGCCCCUGUCAGAUUACUGAUGCUUUUUUCUUACAGCGGUUAUGAUUGGAAAGCCUUCACCUGUCAAGGGGAUGGUGCGAAAAUAAAAAGCACGAGAUGAUUAAAUCCACAGACAUCAAGUCUAAUAACCAGCACCAAAAACAUCGAUGCAGUAAACAGGUUCGGAUCAACGAUGCAGUAAACAGGUUCAGAUCAAGGACACGUUUAUUUAUUACUUACUAAGCUGGGUGGAAGGGAGAGGGGCAGAGAGUCAUAGAAUUGUACACUGAGGGUGUUGUACAGCACAGAAAUAGCUUCCUCAGCCCAGAUCAUCCAUGCUGACAUAAGCCUCAGAUUCAGAUUCGAUGCCAUGGCAAGGUAGCGUUGUGGUCAGUACAAUGCUUUUCAGUAUAGGUGACUGGGUUCAAUUCCCACGGCUGCCUGUGGGGAGUUUGUACACUCUGCCCGUGACCACGUGCUCCGGUUUCCUCUCACAGUUCAAAGACGUGCCAGUUGGUAGGUUAAUUGGUCGUUGUAAAUUGUCUCGUGAUUGGACUAGGAGUAAAUCAGGAAUUGCUGGGCAGUGUGGCUCAAAGGGCCUGUUACUCGCCUGGUCUCAGUAAGUAAUAAAUCAAGCAACAUACAGAGAAAUGGCUCACUUGUGUUCACAAUUGACACAACCUAAGGAUAUGCUGGAGGCAGCCCGCAAUUCAGAUCAGAAUCAGGUUUAGCAUCAUUGGUAUUAUAUAGGCAUCCGUUAGUCUCAUGAAACCAUGGAUUUGCGCCUUGGGAGGUUUCCAGGGUGCAGGCCACGUGCCAACACACACACACACACACACACACACACACAUAUAUAUAUAUAUAUAUAUAUAUAUAUAUACAUACACACACACACACAUAUAUAUAUAUAGCUUGAAUAAGCAUUCUUGUUCAUUUAAAUUAUUCAUUACAGGUUUUCUGUAUAAAUAUGUGAAUUGCAUAUGUUAUCACGCUACCACGAGAUAUUUGCGUGCCUCGCUUAAAAUAAAGAACUAACUGAGACUCGCUUCUCUGGGCUCCUUGUUCUUCUUCAAAUUAGCUCAUUUCUGUACAGAAUAUGAUGAAUUUCUCAAUUUCAGGGGUAAUUAUUCUAGAUGGCAGCCUAAAUCCAAAUUUUUUUUCCCUGGUAAAAUCCAAUUCUUUCAUUUAGUUGUGUAAAUUAUUAACUAAAUGUCAUUCCUCCAAUAGGAUGUCCUCUGUAGAACACAUGAA